AGGGCRCCACCAGGAGUGGAGCCUGCKGCUUAWUUUGACUCAACACGGGAAAACUCACCCGGCCCGGACACUGGAAGGAUKGACRGAUUGAKAGCUCUUUCUUGWUUCAKUGGGKGGUGGUGCAUGGCCGUUCUUAGUUGGUGGAGUGAUUUGUCUGGUUAAUUCCGAUAACGAACGAGACUCUWGCCUACUAAAUAGCCUGCCUGGCUUACAAACGCCGGCAAGACUUCUUAGAGGGACAGGCGGUGAUUCAACCGCACGAAACAGAGMAAUAACAGGUSUGUGAUGCCCUUAGAUGUCCGGGGCCGCACGCGCGCUACACUGAAGUGAUCAGCGUGCCUAUUCASCCUACUCUGUCAAGAGUGGGAAACCCAAUGAACCUUCUUCGUGAUUGGGAUAGGGGAUUGUAAUUAUUCCCCUUGAACRAGGAAUUCCCAGUAAGCGCGAGUCAUAAGCUCGCGUUGAUUACRCCCCUGCCCUUUGUACACACCGCCCGUCGCCACUACCGAUUGAAUGUUU
rnacentral:rRNA from 1 species